AGCGAACGCUGGCGGCAGGCCUAACACAUGCAAGUCGAACGAACUCUUCGGAGUUAGUGGCGGACGGGUGAGUAACACGUUGGAACGUGCCUUUUGGUUCGGAAUAACUCAGGGAAACUUGUGCUAAUACCGAAUGUGCCCGUCGGGGGAAAGAUUUAUCGCCAUUAGAGCGGCCCGCGUCUGAUUAGCUAGUUGGUGAGGUAACGGCUCACCAAGGCGACGAUCAGUAGCUGGUCUGAGAGGAUGACCAGCCACCCUGGGACUGAGACACGGCCCAGACUCCCACGGGAGGCCGGAGUAGUUAAUCUUGCGAAAUGAGCGCAAGUCUGACGCAGCCAUGCCGCGUGAAUGAUGAAGGUCUUAGGAUUAUAAAAUUCUUUAGCCGGGAACGAUAAUGACGGUAACCGGCGAAUAAGCCCCGGCUGACUUCGUG
rnacentral:rRNA from 1 species